UACGGAAGGCAGCAGUGGGGAAGUAUUGCACAAUGGGCGAAAGCCUGAUGCAGCUAUGCCGCGUGUAUGAAGAAGGCCUUAGGGUUGUAAAGUACUUUCAUCGGGGAGGAAAAAACAAAACUAAUAAUUUUAUUUCUUGACGUUACCCGAAAAAGAAGCACCGGCUAACUCCGUGCCAGCAGCCGCGGUAAUACGGAGGGUGCUAGCGUUAAUCAGAAUUACUGGGCGUAAAGAGCACGUAGGUGGUUUUUUAAGUCAGAUGUGAAAUCCCUGGGCUUAACCUAGGAACUGCAUUUUGAAACUGAAAUACUAGAGUAUCGUAGAGGGAGGUAGAAUUCUAGGUGUAGCGGUGAAAUGCGUAGAUAUCUGGAGGAAUACCUGUGGCGAAAGCGGCCUCCUAAACGAAUACUGACACUGAGGGUGCGAAAGCGUGGGGAGCAAACAGGGAUUAGAUACC
rnacentral:rRNA from 1 species